GAUGAAGAACGUAGCGAAAUGCGAUAAGUAAUGUGAAUUGCAGAAUUCAGUGAAUCAUCGAAUCUUUGAACGCACCUUGCGCCUUUUGGUAUUCCGAAAGGCACACCUGUUUGAGCGUCAUGAAUACCUCAAUCUCCAUCUUUUCUUCGGAUUGAUGGGUGACUUGGAUGUUGAGCCCUGCUGGUAUGCUAUAUCAGCUGGCUUUAAACUUAUUAGCCGCCUCUGUACUGGAUCGGUUUGACUCGACGUGAUAAUAUUAUCGUUGAGGAUGCAUGUCUCAUGCAGCCGGAAAGUAUCAAAGCAGCUUCUAGCUUGCCUUUAGUGCACUUUUACAUUUUAGACCUCAGAUCAGGCGGGACUACCCGCUGAACUUAAGCAUAUCAAUAAGCGGAGGA
rnacentral:misc_RNA from 1 species